UGCACUCACAACUCUAAGUCACUCUGGAUAAGAGCGUCUGCUAAAUGACUAAAU
rfam:Salmo salar isolate Sally breed double haploid chromosome ssa14, whole genome shotgun sequence.